ensembl:rRNA 5S_rRNA 5S ribosomal RNA
GCCACAGCCAGAUCACCCUGCAGCAGGAGAGCGGUUACUCACUGAAGCUAAGCAGGGCUGAGCCUGGUCAGUGUCUGGAUGGGGGACCACAUGGGAAAGCUAGGUUGUUGUUGGCA